CGAGAAAGUGGAGCAAUCCACGAGUACAGUGGCGUACGGGUGAGUAACACGUGACUAACCUACCCUCGAGUGGGGAAUAACCUCGGGAAACCGGGGCUAACACCGCAUAACAUCUACGGAUCAAAUGCGUAAGCAGCUUGAGGAGGGGGUCGCGGCUGAUUAGCUAGUUGGCGGGGUAAUGGCCCACCAAGGCAAUGAUCAGUAGCCGGCCUGAGAGGGCGCACGGCCACACUGGAACUGAAACACGGUCCAGACUCCUACGGGAGGCAGCAGUGGGGAAUUUUGCGCAAUGGGGGAAACCCUGACGCAGCAACGCCGCGUGGAGGAUGAAGCCCCUUGGGGUGUAAACUC
rnacentral:rRNA from 1 species